rnacentral:rRNA from 1 species
AACGAACGCCGGCGGCAGGCUUAACACAUGCAAGUCGAACGCCCCGCAAGGGGAGUGGCAGACGGGUGAGUGACGCGUGGGAAUCUACCUAGUUCUACGGAACAACUGAGGGAAACUUCAGCUAAUACCGUAUACGCCCUACGGGGGAAAGAUUUAUCGGAAUUAGAUGAGCCCGCGUUGGAUUAGCUAGUUGGUGGGGUAAUGGCCUACCAAGGCGACGAUCCAUAGCUGGUCUGAGAGGAUGAUCAGCCACACUGGGACUGAGACACGGCCCAGACUCCUACGGGAGGCAGCAGUGGGGAAUAUUGGACAAUGGGCGCAAGCCUGAUCCAGCCAUGCCGCGUGAGUGAUGAAGGCCUUAGGGUUGUAAAGCUCUUUCAGUGGGGAAGAUAAUGACGGUACCCACAGAAGAAGCCCCGGCUAACUUCGUGCCAGCCGCCGCGGUAAUAC